GGCUGGAUAGCUCAGUUGGUAGAGCGCUGGUACGGUGUUCCAGAUGUUGCAGGUUCAAAUCCUGCUCCAGUCA
rnacentral:tRNA from 1 species